UGGACUACACGGGUUUCUAAUCCUGUUUGCUCCCCACGCUUUCGUACCUCAGCGUCAAUAUAUGUCCAGUAAGUCGCCUUCGCCACUGGUGUUCUUCCGAAUAUCUACGAAUUUCACCUCUACACUCGGAAUUCCACUGACCUCUCCAAGAUUCUAGCUACCUAGUUUCAAAGGCCGUUCCGGGGUUGAGCCCCGGGCUUUCACCUCUGACUUGAAUAACCGCCUACGUACGCUUUACGCCCAGUAAUUCCGAACAACGCUAGCUCCCUCCGUAUUACCGCGGCGGCUGGCACUU
rnacentral:misc_RNA from 1 species